GACAGAGGUGCCGAGCGUUAGGCGGAAUCACUGGGCUUAAAGCGUGUGUAGGCGGGUCGGUAAGUGUCUUGUGAAAUCCCCCGGCUCAACCGGGGAAUGGCUGGGCAUACUGGCGAUCUUGAGCAGUCUAGGGGCAGAUGGAACAAGUGGUGGAGCGGUGAAACGCGUAGAUAUCACUUGGAACGCCAACGGUGAAGACAGUCUGCUGGGGACUUGCUGACGCUGAGACACGAAAGCCAGGGGAGCGAACGGG
rnacentral:rRNA from 1 species